UACGUAGGGGGCAAGCGUUGUCCGGAUUUAUUGGGCGUAAAGAGCGUGUAGGCGGCCUUACAGGUCAGCUGUGAAAACUCGAGGCUCAACCUCGAGACGUCGGUUGAAACCGUAAGGCUAGAGUCCGGAAGAGGAGAGUGGAAUUCCCGGUGUAGCGGUAAAAUGCGCAGAUAUCGGGAAGAACACCCGUGGCGAAGGCGGCUCUCUGGGACGGUACUGACGCUGAGACGCGAAAGCGUGGGGAGCGAACAGG
rnacentral:rRNA from 1 species